rnacentral:rRNA from 1 species
GGUGAACGCUAGCGGGAGGCUUAACACAUGCAAGUCGAGGGGCAGCAUAGGGUAGCAAUACUCUGAUGGCGACCGGCAAACGGGUGAGUAACGCGUGGGUAACCUGCCCUCUAGACUGGGACAACAGCUCGAAAGGGCUGCUAAUACCGGAUGUGAUUACCGUACCGCCUGGUAUGGUAAUGAAAGUGCUUAGCGCUAGAGGAUGGACCCGCGUCCCAUUAGCUAGUUGGUGAGGUAACAGCUCACCAAGGCGACGAUGGGUAGCCGGCCUGAGAGGGUGACCGGCCACACUGGGACUGAGACACGGCCCAGACUCCUACGGGAGGCAGCAGUAGGGAAUCUUGCGCAAUGGGGGGAACCCUGACGCAGCGACGCCGCGUGAGCGACGAAGGCCUUCGGGUCGUAAAGCUCUGUCCUAUGGAAGAUAGAGACGGUACCAUAGGAGGAAGCCCGGCUAACUACGUG